rnacentral:rRNA from 1 species
GACGGGACCGCACAAGCGGUGGAUGAUGUGGUUUAAUUCGAUGCAACGCGAAAACCUUACCACCUUUGACAUGUACGGAAUCCUUUAGAGAUAGAGGAGUGCUCGAAAGAGAGCCGUAACACAGGUGCUGCAUGGCUGUCGUCAGCUCGUGUCGUGAGAUGUUGGGUUAAGUCCCGCAACGAGCGCAACCCUUGUCAUUAGUUGCUACAUUCAGUUGGGCACUCUAAUGAGACUGCCGGUGACAAACCGGAGGAAGGUGGGGAUGACGUCAAGUCCUCAUGGCCCUUAUAGGUGGGGCUACACACGUCAUACAAUGGAUGGUACAAAGGGUCGCCAACCCGCGAGGGGGAGCCAAUCCCAUAAAGCCAUUCGUAGUCCGGAUCGCAGUCUGCAACUCGACUGCGUGAAGUCGGAAUCGCUAGUAAUCGUGGAUCAGAAUGUCACGGUGAAUACGUUCCCGGGUCUU